rnacentral:rRNA from 1 species
UCGAGCGAACAGAAGGGAGCUUGCUCCCGGAUGUUAGCGGCGGACGGGUGAGUAACACGUGGGUAACCUGCCUAUAAGACUGGGAUAACUCCGGGAAACCGGAGCUAAUACCGGAUAGUUCCUUGAACCGCAUGGUUCAAGGAUGAAAGACGGUUUCGGCUGUCACUUACAGAUGGACCCGCGGCGCAUUAGCUAGUUGGUGGGGUAAUGGCUCACCAAGGCGACGAUGCGUAGCCGACCUGAGAGGGUGAUCGGCCACACUGGGACUGAGACACGGCCCAGACUCCUACGGGAGGCAGCAGUAGGGAAUCUUCCGCAAUGGACGAAAGUCUGACGGAGCAACGCCGCGUGAGUGAUGAAGGUUUUCGGAUCGUAAAGCUCUGUUGUUAGGGAAGAACAAGUGCGAGAGUAACUGCUCGCACCUUGACGGUACCUAACCAGAAAGCCACGGCUAACUACGUGCCAGCAGCCGCGGUAAUACGUAGGUGGCAAGCGUUGUCCGGAAUUAUUGGGCGUAAAGGGCUCGCAGGCGGUUUCUUAAGUCUGAUGUGAAAGCCCCCGGCUCAACCGGGGAGGGUCAUUGGAAACUGGGAAACUUGAGUGCAGAAGAGGAGAGUGGAAUUCCACGUGUAGCGGUGAAAUGCGUAGAGAUGUGGAGGAACACCAGUGGCGAAGGCGACUCUCUGGUCUGUAACUGACGCUGAGGAGCGAAAGCGUGGGGAGCGAACAGGAUUAGAUACCCUGGUAGUCCACGCCGUAAACGAUGAGUGCUAAGUGUUAG